CUGAUCUUUGCAGCAAGCAGUCAUAAAAUUUGUCCUUAACAGAAUACAGGCGCAAGAAAUAGUAGGGGCUUCUGAGGCUCAACACUGAGAUGCAGAUCAGGAAGUGAUAGAAAUUCAGUGUUUUGCUUUCACACCUUUUCUGAAAACACUGGCAAUCUCCAGCAAAUUCCACAUUAUAUUCAUUGCAUUCCAUUCUACUGAAUGGAAUGUGCAUUUCCUGAAAAGUCUUCGAUCCUGGAAUGACAGUGUUUGAGGAUAUGAUAACAUUACACAGGCUUGUACAGGGAUGCAGUAGUUGUAUUCAAUAUUUAACUUCCACAACUCAUUGUUCAUCUAGUUUCAGGAAGCUGUAUUAUCGGUUUCAGCUAAAUGCCAUGCUCCUGAGAGUUUCUGCUAAAUAAUGGAGAUGCCACAGGAGCCACAGCUCUGAACAGAGAGAUCAAAAGCCAAACAGAAUGCAGCUCUGAAAUACAAUUGUCCUUAUAAAGACACAAACAUAAAAAUGCUGCUUCUAGCCACAGCAAUUCUUUAACAAUUCUAUACAGAGGUGAACAAGUGCAACUCCUAAAACCAAUCUCCUUGCUGAGAAAAUAGAAAUAAAAAGCACAUCAGUAAAAUGAAACAAAUGUUUGCAUUCGUUUUCUUGAAACUUGAAUGGCUUCCUGCCAUUGCAACACUGACUAUAGUGGAAACUUCAUAAGUUAAAUAAGGUAUUAUAUCCUGGGCAUACCAACUAAGUGCUAAGUGAAAUAAGAGUAAAUUCUAACCCUUUGAGUGUUAUUAGAGUACAGUCACAGUCUCUCCCUGCACAGUCAAGAUCAGCAAGAUGCAAAAACUGCUGAAAGCUGGAGGGCUCUGUGAAUAAAAACAACUGUCUUUUAUGUGGCAAGAUCCCCUAGUAGAAAAGCAGAAGCAUAACAGGAAGAGAAAGUCAUCGCUUCAAGUUGCUUUGUUCAGCUCAUUUCUACAUCACUGUUCCUGUCUACACAACUCUUGCUUAAGUUUUCCUUUCAAACACUGAUGAUGCUGAAUACUCAUGUUUCAGGCACCCUUCUCCCUUUUUGACAGACUUUGUCCACCUAAAGCCUCAGCACAGUCAUUUUUGCAUUCAUGCUGCAAAAAACACCUAUUUUUCAGCACAGUCAUCAUUAUUAUCUCUGCAUUUUUGCCAGCAAUGAACAAAAGCCUGAUGCCAUGCUCACAAAAAUCUGCACCAGAGAAGGGGACACACUGUUUCACAGCUGCUGUGCUGGUGUUGUUGCUGAGAAAGUGUUGCCCACACAGUUCACCCUUAAUCAGACUGAACAGAUGAAAGUCAGAAGGCACCACAUCUGGACAACUUGGUGUGCAGUAGAACAGUCAAGAUUGCAAGGCCAGUGUGCUCCACAGUCUUUAAACUGGUAUGGGAUCUGGUGUUAUUGUAUUGCAAGAGAAAGGUUGUCUUCAUCUGUGAUUUGACUCCAGGAGAUCAGGCCUUCAGCCUAGUCAGAACUGUGAUGUUGCAGUCAGAGUUGAUGGUUUGUCCAGGUUCCAGGAAAUCCAGAAGGAUCACUCCUUUUCUAUCCCCAAAAACAGUGCACCUCAUUUACCUGCUGAGGGCUGUGUCUUGAACAUUUUCUUUUAUAAGGGAAUUCAAACGUCACCACUCCAUGGACUACCAUUGUGACUCUGGCUCAUAGUAGUGACACCAUGUACAUCUCAUUACUGGUAAAUGAUACAAUCCAGAAACCUGUCACUUUCAGCAUCAUAGUGUUUCAGUAGUUUUUACAAACUUGCAUGCAGUGUUCUUUCUGUUCCUUCUUAGCAUUCACGAGACUCAUUUGGCAUAAACUUUGUGAUAAUUCAGUGUUGCCACUGCCAUUUCCAAUGCAUUGAAGCUGAUAUUCAGCUCCGUACAUAUUUCCCUGACUGUAAUUCACCAAUUUGCUUAACACACACUCCCAUAUCAGACACCAUUUUGUCAGGCUGUCCCGCUGCCAUCAUCUUUCACACAGCAACAACUGUCCUACCAUACCACCAACAUCUGUCUCUUAUGUCACAGGGCAUUAUAAAAUAGGAGGAAUUACUUUCAGAGCAGCCCUGGUAUAUAACAGUGUAUAGGGAGUAUGUAUUUUUUUAUUUUGAAAGACUGUGGAGGUACCAAACACAGUAUUACAAUGCUGUAGUGGAAAGGCUAAGUUAGGGCCUGAAGCAGUGAUUGAGCACCUGGUGGAAAGGCAAGGCCAACCCAGGGGAGCUCAGGUGUAUGCAAUGUACCUGAGUGAUCGGAAGGGGGGAAACCAGGAUCCACCCCUUCUGAGACCUCAUUUAAGGGUUGGCAGUGGAGGCAAAGGCUUGUUUUGCUGGAGCUCCCUGCUUUUCUGAGGCCUUUUGAAGGAACUUCUUUACCAUGGUGUGUUUUUCUCUGAAGUGCAAAAACGAGUUUUGCACCCCGCAGUUCCUCAAGAUUGCAAGCAAACCUCUGGCAAGGACAGAAAUUCUGACUGUUAUUUCAACCUGGGCAGCUAGAGCUAUUCUUGAGAAAACAGCUCUGGACAUGGCAGCCAUGUUCUGGGAACAUCUCUUGAACUGGAUGUUUGCUGUCAAACCAAGUGAGGCUCUAUUUUAAGUGAUGAGUCUUCACCUGACCCCGCAGGAAAGAGUCUGCUAUGACUGUUAGAUGGAUGAUGAGCCCAUCAUCAAAACUUAUGGAUAAUAUCACUAGGGCAAGAGGGAUUUCAUUUGUGGGAUGCCAGGAGUCUAGAUCGUCUGCCACAACACUUAUGAAGGAUGGCCUGAGCACCAGCCUCCUAGUUUCAUGGACAGUAAUGAAUUCUGAUUGGAGACUGUCAUUGACCAUGAAGUCUGGUUUGACAUAGAGACUGAUAUAAGCAACACCCUGCAGCAUGACUUGCUUUUUGCAGUAGGAGAAGGAGAUUUUUCCCUGAAUCCUUUUACAACUAUAUUAUUUCUGCCAAGUUAGCAUUUAGUAUGCAAUCUCCAAGUUUAACAUAAUCAGAUCUAGAUAGAUGACUUGAGGCAUCCCCACAGAACCUGCAGGGAAGAGUGGCCUAAGCGAACACACUGCUCUCCAAAUUAGUUUGCAGUAACAUGCAUCAUAUUCUUCUGAUGUUUUAAAAUAUUGUUCUUUGAGGUCAUUUAAGGAAAAAAAAAUAAAAAUCUUCAUGAUCUCCCUGAAUUUGCAAACUUUGAACUUAGGUUCAAUUUGUUUGCAUAUUUAAGAUGCUAUUGGAGGUGGCACAAAAGUUUCCGAUGACCAGAUGCUACCUUCAGCUGUUUCUUCAGCUUUUGAAUGUGGCUUGGGAAGCUUAAUUGUACAGUGGGGAAAGUGUAGUUCAUGGGCUUUUUGAAAGCAGAAGGAAAGAAAAUGAAGUAUAAUGUGAGAAUUGUUAAAAAAUCACAUGGUCCCUUUUUUUUUUUUUUUUUUUUUUACCUGUUUAUGCACAUCUUUCUACAAAUACCAUCAAGAUUUUUCUUUUUUCUUGUGUUUAAUGUUUGACUGACUAAUAUAGGUACAUAGCACUUUGUGACAUAUCAUGGAAAAGUAAGUGAGUCUCUAUGGAGAGGCUGUGAAUGAAGGUUCAUUUCUCAUGGAACUCUGUGCCAUAAACCACAUGAAACUAGCAGAUCUUAUUGAAUCACGCUGGUCAUGUUAGAAUGAAGAUGAUUGUAUUUUACACCUGGCAAUGUAAGUGAAGACCUGGAAAUACAAAGGCAAGUGAAAUCCUGA